rnacentral:tRNA from 1 species
AAGAAUUUAGUUAAUAUAUAACAUUAGAUUGUCAAACUAAAAUAAUUUUUAGAAAAAUAAUUUUUU